GCCAAUCAGCAGCAGACCCUCCCUCCCAGACCCUCCCACCUCCUGGACAGCAUCCAUUUUGAAGCUGCAUUCUUAGUGAGCUGUCCAGGAGGUGGGAGGGUCUGGGAGGGAGGGUCUGCUGCUUCAAAUCU